UUAAUUGUGGCUCAAACCUUUUAUAUACAUCUCACCCUAAAACUUGUUUGUGUGGCAAUUUUUGAUUGUCAUUGCACUCAGGUAUACGUAACAGUUUUUUUUUUUGUUACAUUAUCCCCUCCCAUUAUUUUAAUUUUUUUUUUUAAACACAAGUUGAAUUAGGAAUGUAAAAAAAAUGACCUAAUUUGAAAUAACUUUUAACAAUGGAUCUCUAGGCUCUCAUAUCGAUGAAGAACACAGUGAAAUGUGAUAAGUAAUGUGAAUUGCAGAAUUCAGUGAAUCAUUGAAUCUUUGAACGCACCUUGCACCUUUUGGCAUUCCAAAAGGUACACCUGUUUGAGUGUCAUGAAAAUCUCUCAUCAAAUUAAUUUUUGGUGGAUGUUGAGUGCUUGCUGUCUAGCUCACUUUAAAUAUAUAAGUUCUUCCUUAUUUUGUGUUGGAUUGACUUGGUGUAAUAUUAUUUUUUUCAUCAAGGAAAGUGGAAAUACUUGCCAAUAUUCUAAGUUAAAGGGGGGACUCCUAAAUAAAGUAAUAUUUUGAAAUUCUAAAGACCUCAAAUCAGGUGGGACUACCUGCUGAGCUUAAGCAUAUCAAUAAGCGGAGGA
rnacentral:rRNA from 1 species